UAAAAUACCAGUUCCCAUAUGAUCACUAAAGUUAAGCAACAUCAACCCUGGUCAGUACUUAGAUGGGUGAACAGUUGGGAAUAUCAGGUGUGGUAA